UUUCGGGUUAAUAAUUAAAUGAAUUAUCGAUUAACGAUAAAUGAAAUUUAUAAUGAAUGAAUCGAUAUAAUAUUUGAAGGAAAUGUGGAUUUUUAUUUUCGAGAACGUUCUAAACCGCGAUAGUGGCAAAGGUUCGAGAUGAUGAAGAGAAUACGAAGGAGGUAGAAAAUAAAAAGGUGAAAAAGAAAAUCGGAUAGUGAGGCAAGAGGAGGUAUCGGAAGGAGAGCUACAGUGCCUACAUAGCAAAAAAGGAAUGACGCCGGUAUUUUUAAUGGGAAGCCGAAGGCGAGUUGAAUAGAACGAGCUUUUGGGUCCCUCGCGAGGACGUCGUACGCCUCUACAAGGGUUCAAAGCGAGAGCCAAGUUUUAACAAGCCUCAGGCUUCGUGCCCCUGGCCCCUGGAUGUCUCCUUUAAAUAAUCCACCGGACGAUCCAUUCGUACGAAGGAUCGUUCAAGCAUCAUUGAAAAAUUCUUUCGAUCUCCGUCUCAAUUAUCAAGAUAAAAUUUCUUUGGUAAAAGUUAUGCGGACGAUUCUCCAAAAAAUUCUAUCACCGUCCUUUAUGAAAAAUUCCAGAAUUACAGACAAAGUCCUUGCAUAGAUAUCUCGUUCUUUCUCGUAACGUCCUCCAUUCGUGUCUCUCGCCUCUUUACAAAGAAAGAGAGGAGGUCGUUUUUUUUACUUGGGGGAAUCGUGAAAGUCAAGAGAAGAUUCGAGUGUGUAGGAUAUAGUGAGGAACGAGGGAACACGAUUUAUUAGAGAAAGACAAGGAAAAGAGGAAUAAAACGAAAAGAGGGAAGAAAAAGAGGAUGGACCGCACAAAGAAAAAAACGUAGGCGGGAGGCCGAGGUGUACAUGGAGAAAAAAAGAGAGAGAGAGAGAUAAAGAGAGAGAGAGAGAUAAAGAGAGAGAGAGAGAGAGAGAUAAAGAGAGAGAGAGAGAGAGAGAGAGAGAGAGAGAGAGAGAGAGAGAGAGAGAGAGAGGUGCGGAAUAAUGCUUAACAAGCCGACUUGAAAGGACGGCCGCCAUGUUGAGUCAAUACUUGAAAGUCUUUGCUCAUUAAGAAUAUUUUACAUCUGGCUCCUCCGGCAGCACCGCCGAGUCUCUAAUUCCUCUUUCCCUUCCACUGUUCGUUCCGAAGCCGCGCUCGCUUCGCUCAUCUUCGAAGAGAGAAGAAGCUUUCUUUUGCUUCCUCUUUCUCUGUCCCCUUUGCCCUCACUCCCGCCUUUACGUUCGAGGUCCGUCCCCCUGGUGCCUGGUUGCAUACCGGGGGUGGUUGGACCCUCGAAGAUGGAAGUUAUUUACGCGCCACUCGGAACACCCUCCACCAUCGCGAACUUUCUCUCUCUCUCUCUCUUUUUCUCUCCCUCUUUUUCUCUUUUUCUCCUGGUUUCCCUUUGCAUAACCCCUCUCAUCGGUUGCCAUCCCCUCUGUUGCCGUCACUGCCGGCGGCCUUGGCUGGCCAUCAUGUCCGCCAUUGCCUUCCUUUUCUGACCCUUUAAGAACGACGGAAAGAAUUCCUUCGACUUCACCAACGGGCCAACCCUCCGUCCGCCCUUUGCAGUCUUUCUCUCUUUUCCUCUCUCAUUCUCUCCCUUUAUCUUCCUCCUUUCGUUCUCCUACCAUCGCGUAAUCACCGUUCCAUUUCGCGGCGUUUUUCCUAAUUCCUACCCAAUUCCGCUUUUAGCAUUUCAAUUUAUGCCCGCGGACCGAUCCGUCGGACGUGCCUACCCUCCGGUAACGACGGAUUAUUAUCGAAGACGUACCGCUUCGAAUGGAAAUUUACUUGGGAAUCGGGAAGAGGGAUGAAAUUGUUCUUUUACGCGUUCGAUAGAAAAAUCGGUAUCGGCGUUGUUAUUGUUCUUUUAACUUUCUUUCCAUGGAUAAUAAUUUAUUCGAUCUCGAGAUAUAAACAUAAUCGCAUUUACUUAUAUACGUAGGUAUAAGUACUCUAUAGUUCUAUUGAAGAAUUUUUUAUCUCUCUCUCUCUCUCUCUCUUUUUUUGUUAUAAUUUCGUUUGCUUGUCACGUUGCCGUUAGAUCGGCUCACAAAACGAUAAGACUGUCGUUACCCCUCGUUGCGUUAUAGGGGUAUGGUUAUAAAAAUAAGUCACGUGUGCACAUCGGUACUGCGUUUCUCGCGUUUCUCAAUUGUAUCAACUUUAACCCUUUCAUUGUUUCGCUUUUUUUUCUAUCGAUCCUUUCUUGGCAUUUCACCGGCUCCAUUCGCAAACCCUUUCUCGCGCGUUUCGUGUUAGGAACGGGCGAGGAGAUUCGAAGUUUGUCCGUGCGAACAAUCGCGUGCACGAACGGUAUGUUAGCGUACAUAAUAAGCUGUGCAGAAAGCGAGCAAACGAGAAUGAGAAAGAAAAGGAGUGAGAGAGAGAGAGAGAGAGAGAGAGAGAGAGAGAAAGAGAGACAGAAUGAAACAAAAACUGGUCUCGCGAGGUAAAACAAUAGGGGGUUCCUUCGGAAGGGCAGACAGAGAGAAAGAGAGAGAAGAGUACCGUACAACCCCGUAGAGUCGUAGAGCUAUGGCACGACGUGUGUGAAAUUCAAGAACCUGUAGCGCGAAGAAGAACAAAACGUUGCUGCCAGCUGCACGGUGCAUACGUUAUUAAUGUGUCGUUUUGUCCUUCCUCAUCGACAUCUUUACUCGAGAAAGAAAGAAAUAAAAAGAGAGAAAGAGAGAGUACCAAAGAUCAUAAUUCCAAUGAGACGGUGCAACGCGUUAAUAUACCGAGACUCUUCGCCUCCUUCUUUUCGGCCGAGUCUCUUUACCCCACAUUUUCUUUGGUACCUUUCAUUCCCUAUCCUUUCUCACUCUUCUUUCUCUUCUUCCCCAUCGACCGAGAAACAGGUUCCUCUUUAUUCGGCCCGCUUAUUAUGCAACUUAUUGUUUUCGCCGAGACACAAGGGUCUCUCCGAGUGGUCCUGAAUCAGGCGAAAAAAAAACGAGUCUUCGAGUGACUCGUUCUACGGCUUUGCGUUCUCAUACUUCCAUUUCUCAUAACGAAUUAUCAUAGCGUUAGAUUUUUGUCAUUUCGACGGACCGCUCUUUUUUAACCGGUAGAUGACAUUGUGAUAUUUGGAUUAGAAAGGAUCCUUUACGAAGGAUAUAUAGAGGAGUAGAUAAAAGAUUUUUUAUUGUAUAGACUUGAAGAUCAUAUUCCAUGCAAGAUGUCUCUUUUGAAAUUUUUUACUUUUCUCAAAUGCUUCUCCGACAAUAUUCCCAUGGAUCGAUUAAGAUGAUAAAUGUGACAUUUCUUUUUUCUGUUUUUUUUUUUUUUCUUUUUUUUUUUAACAACCAAUUAUCUAAUGAGCGUAUAAGAUUCCUUGAUUCAUUGCUGGAAUGAUGCAGCACCAAUGGAUGGCAGAUGUCCAGAAGCAAACGAAAAAGAUUUUAUUUUUCUUUUUUACUUUUUUCUUUUUUUUUUUUUUUUUUUUAGCAAGAACUCCCGUGGACCCGUCCAGGUGUCCAUUGUGGGUCCGAGCUACGAUUCUCAACCCUUAAUCCUUAACCCUUUGGCCGCACGCAUCCGCCUGCAGACGCCCAUUUACCGAUUCUGAAACAAUACCGACCGGACCGCACCCCGGAUGCGCACGUUUAUUAAGUAAUGUCCCCCUUUGCUUUUCGUUUCGCAGCUGGCCGAGCAAAAAAAGCACUGUUGCUUUUGUCUAUCAUUUCUCGCGGUCCAACGAUGCUUUCCUAACGAUUUCUAAUUCAAUCGUUAGGAAAGUCGUAAGAUCGAAUGUCCGCGACAUCGAACGUUGAGAUUUUUCUGUUAUCUAAUUAAAAGGCCAAACAAUUUUUAUUGUCUUUCUAAGAUAUCGACAAAUAUGUUUUCAGGCACACGUCACGACAAUUCAUUCAAUAAUACAACAAUAUAAUUUUAUUUUAAAUAUCAUACAGUCGGUGAUCUUUUCUGUGUGAAUGUUUAAAAAAUUUUUAAAUAUUAUAAUAAGAAAUUGGCUCAAUUAAAUUUAAUAUACUUUAAUAAUACUACUUAUAAUUGAAUAGAA